rnacentral:rRNA from 1 species
UAACACCUGGAAACAGAUGCUAAUACCGGAUAACAACAGAUGAUGCCUAUCAACUGUUUAAAAGAUGGUUCUGCUAUCACUCUUGGAUGGACCUGCGGUGCAUUAGCUAGUUGGUAGGGUAACGGCCUACCAAGGCGAUGAUGCAUAGCCGAGUUGAGAGACUGAUCGGCCACAUUGGGACUGAGACACGGCCCAAACUCCUACGGGAGGCAGCAGNU